GAGUGUGUUUGAUCUCAGCUUAAAUCUUUUGCUUUAUUGUUAAAGUUGCAUGAAAGUUUUGGCGUAGGGGCUCCUAAUCUAGUUUUUAAAACUCAAGGUAAUUAAAAGUUAGUUAGGAAACAAUUAACUUUUUAGUCUCAGCAUAAAUUAUUAUGAAUUUAUACACGAGAGUGUGAAAUAGUAAAAAUAAAAAACCUGAUAAACGUUUGUGCCAGCAUUCGCGGUUAUACUUCGAGGUUAAGUUAAAGAUUAUUGGUUAUUAAUUAGACGGUGUAAUAAUUAAAAUAAUAUAUUAAUAAUAAAGGGUAAAAUUGAACUGUUAUGUUAUAUGAAAAAAAAUAAAAGUCAAAGUUAAAAAAGUGAGAAAUAAAAACUAGGAUUAGAUACCCUAUUAUUCUGAUGAAUGUUUAAAGCCAAAGUAGUACUAGAUAAAUACUUAAAAUUUAAAAGAUUUGGCGGUAAUUUAAUCUUUCCAGAGGAACCUGUUCUUUAAUCGAUAAAACACGUUAAAUCUCACUCGUUUUUGUUUCAGUUUGUAUACCGUCAUUAGCAGUUAAUCAUUAGAGGGAGUUAAUAAUUAUAAUUGUUUAUAAAUAAAUUAGAUCAAGGUGCAGCUAAUAAACGAGAUAGGAUGGGUUACAAUAAAUUACUAUUAAACGGAGUAACAAAGGAAGAGUUUGUUAUCAAGGUGGAUUUGGUUGUAUUGGGAACUAAAAAGUUCAAAAGAAAUAAGCACUAAAUUAUGUACAUAUCGCCCGUCGCUUUCAUUUAAAAGUGAAAUAAGUCGUAACAUAGUAGAUGUACUGGAAAGUGUAUCUGGAAUAAU
rnacentral:ncRNA from 1 species